AACUGAAGCAGGAAGUUAUCAGCACCAGCAGCAAGGCAGAACCACCCCAGUGCACCUCCCUGGCCUGGUCUGCUGAUGGCCAGACUCUAUUUGCUGGCUACACAGACAACCUGGUGCGAGUGUGGCAGGUGACCAUCGGCACCCGCUAGAAGUUUGUGGAACAGCUUUACAAAUUAAAGGAAAAAACUGGCUUUUUUGACUUUUA